AACGAACGCUGGCGGCAUGCCUAACACAGGCAAGUCGAACGAGACCUCCGGGUCUAUUGGCGUACGGGUGCGUAACGCGUGGUAACCUGCCCUUAGGUUCGGAAUAACUCCCCGAAAGGGGUGCUAAUACCGGAUAAUGUCUUCGGACCAAAGAUUUAUCGCCUUUGGAUGGGCCCGCGUUGGAUUAGCUAGUUGGUAGUGUAAAAGCCUACCAAGGCGACGAUCCAUAGCUGGUCUGAGAGGAUGAUCAGCCACACUGGGACUGAGACACGGCCCAGACUCCUACGGGAGGCAGCAGUGGGGAAUAUUGGACACUGGGCGAAAGCCUGAUCCAGCAAUGCCGCGUGAGUGAUGAAGGCCUUAGGGUUGUAAAGCUCUUUUACCCGGGAUGAUAAUGACAGUACCGGGAGAAUAAGCGCCGGCUAACUCCGUG
rnacentral:rRNA from 1 species